rnacentral:piRNA from 1 species
UCACCUUUGUUUUCAAUAAACUGU